CCCUUAGAUGUUCUGGGCCGCACGCGCGCUACACUGAUUCAUGCAACAAGUUUUGUCCUUGGCUGAUAGGCCUGGGUAAUCUUUGAACGUGAAUCGUGAUGGGGAUAGAUGAUUGCAAUUAUUCAUCUUCAACGAGGAAUUCCUAGUAAACGCAAGUCAUCAGCUUGCAUUGAUUACGUCCCUGCCCUUUGUACACACCGCCCGUCGCACCUACCGAUUGAAUGGUCCGGUGAAAUCUUCGGAUCUGAGAGAUGUCUGAUUAAUUUCGGACGCCUUUUGGAAAAGUUGCUUAAACCUUACCAUUUAGAGGAAGGUGAAGCCGUAACA
rnacentral:rRNA from 1 species